CUGCCAGCAGCCGCGGUAAUUCCAGCUCCAAUAGCGUAUAUUAAAGUUGCUGCAGUUAAAAAGCUCGUAGUUGGAUCUGGGGCUUGAGGUCGCUGUCUAUCGUUUCGGCGAUGACGGUGAUGCUCAGCUCUGCUUGCCGGUGACUGUUGCGGUGUUCUUCACUGAGCGCUGUAGCAGCACGGCACGUUUACUUUGAAAAAAUUAGAGUGCUCAAAGCGUGCUUGUCGCUUGAAUAAUGUUGCAUGGAAUAAUGGAAUAGGACCUCGGUUCUAUUUUGUUGGUUUUCGGAGCUUGAGGUAAUGAUUAAGAGGGACGAACGGGGGCAUUCGUAUUGCGGUGUUAGAGGUGAAAUUCUUGGAUCGCCGCAAGACGGACUACUGCGAAAGCAUUUGCCAAGAACGCUUUCAUUAAUUAAGAACGAAAGUCAGAGGUUCGAAGACGAUCAGACACCGUCCUAGUUCUGACCAUAAACGAUGCCGACCAGCGAUCCGUAGUGGUUGCUUUAUGGACCCUACGGGCAGCCUCCGGGAAACCAAAGUAUUUGGGUUCCGGGGGAAGUAUGGUUGCAAAGCUGAAACUUAAAGGAAUUGACGGAAGGGCACACCAGGAGUGGAGCCUGCGGCUCAAUUUGACCCAACACGGGAAAACUCACCCGGUCCGGACACCGUAAGGAUUGACAGACUGAUAGCUCUUUCUUGAUUCGGUGGAUGGUGGUGCAAGGCCGUUCUUAGUUGGUGGAGUGAUUCGUCUGGUUAAUUCCGAUAACGAACGAGACUCUAGCCUGCUAAGUAGUGUUGCUAUUGUUAUAUGGUUGACACUUCUUAGAGGGACAAGUGGCAUUUAGCCACGCGAAAUUGAGCAAUAACAGGUCUGUGAUGCCCUUAGAUGUCCGGGGCCGCACGCGCGCUACACUGGAGAAGUCAGCGUGUGUUAUCCAAGUCCGAAAGGACUGGGUAAUCCGUUGAACCUUCUUCGUGCUUGGGACUGUGGCUUGGAACUAUUCCACACGAACGAGGAAUUCCUAGUAAUUGCAAGUCAUAAGCUUGCGUUGAUUACGUCCCUGCCCUUUGUACACACCGCCCGUCGCUACUACCGAUUGAAUGGUUUAGCAAGGUCCUCGGAUCGUGGCCGUAGGGGCACGCAAGUGUUUCUGCGGUUUGCGAGAAGACGACCAAACUUGAUCAUUUAGA
rnacentral:rRNA from 1 species